CUACUGCCAAGUACAGCAAUGAAAAAAGAACAAAAGGACAGUGAAAUUUGGGGAAGCGUUUCUAGUUAUCCAGUCAGUGUGGUUCAUUACAAGUACCAGAAAACAUACUUUAUUCUGGUCAAAAUGAAAGGGAAGGCAUAGCUCACUGUCUGCAGGCCUGAGGAGGAUGGGCUCUAGGUGAUUGGACUCAUCAAACCAGAAUCCAGGGUGCUGUGGUUUGAAAGUAUCCUCCAAUAUUCCUCCAAUAGAAACUUAAUUCCCACUGCAACUGUGUUGGGAGGUGGGGUCUUUGGGUGAGAUGUUUAGAUCAUGAGGCUUCUGUCCCUAUCAAAAAGGUUUGCAGGGUUUGGCUUUCUUUUGCCCUUAUACCUUCUGCCAUGUGAACAUGCCUCAAGAAAAACCUUCACCAAACACAAGCACCUUGAUUUGGAACUUUCCAGCAUCCAGAACUGUGAAAAUAAAUCUGUUCUUUAUAGAAUACCUAGUUUCAGGUAAUCUGGUUCAGCAAUGCAGAAUGCCUUGAGACACAGGGCUUUUCCCCCUCAUCUCUUCCUUUAGUUUUUUUUGGGGGGGUGGGGGUGGGGUUAGUUUUGUUCUAAGCCUGCCUCUGUUCUUGGUGAUACAUUUGCUGGAGUCAUCCCUGAUCAUAUCCACAUAUCACAUCAUCCACAGAAAGGAGAGGACACUUCUAUACACAUUGUAAGCUGAGUUCGGGUUUCCAUAGCCUCACCCUAUAUAGAUUGCAUGGCAGCCUUAAAACCAGUUAUUGCCAUUUUGAUGGGAGUGUGUCUUUUUGAGGUUUCCUUGCUGGAAUUGCCAGAGUACCUGGACUGCAUGAGUGCAUGGACAUUCAGAGGAAUAUUUGGGUCCUGUUUGAUGGAGAGACACAAGGGAGACUGGAGGCAGCUUCAGUAGCCAGUGUUGCUGGACCAAAGGUGGCAGUGGUCCUCACCCUGCCUGCUCCCUUCCUGAUGCCUUUCAAUUGUCUUUAGGGUAGAGCAUAUGAAAAGAAUCUCCUUAGGAAGGUACACACUCUACUAUUUCUUGAAUUAAGCUAAUGGUCAUCAGCACAAAGUAUCCAUCCAUAAUCAUAUUAACCUGAAUAUCUGAGAUUUUAAAAUGCCCAGGUUCCAAAUAUUCUUUUCCUCGCAAUCUACCCUUUCUACAAAUGAUCUCUCUUCUCUGUAGAUACAUCAUCUUAGGUAAUAGAGUGAUCCAGGCAGGGGCUCUGGGAAUAUGCCUACCAAAACCAGUUUAAAGAAAUAAACAUUGUAAAUGGCAUUGACAGUUAGCUGCAUUGUAGGAUGUGGAAUAAUCAUAGAAAUUUACAAUAAUUGUCACAACCAAGUUUGAUUCAACUGAACAUGAAUGGAACUGAGUUUUAUGAUUAUCUUACCAAAUACUAAUAACAAAUCUAAAAUCAAUGGGAAUGGGAAAGACAGUAGAAUGAAUUGGACAUAACUUUCCUAUGUUUAUAUACGAAUACAUGACCAGUGUAACUCCACAUCAUGUACCACCACAAAAAUGGGAAGUUCUAUACUCCACAUAUGAUAUGUCAAAAUACAUUCUACGUCACGUAUAAAAAAAUAAAAAAAAAAACAAUGGGAAGCCUGGCUAUCUAAGGCUGGCUCUGCUCUUGGGAACAAAAUCGCUGGACUAGUUAUUUAAUGUUGUUCAGCAUAGUUUGUUCAAAGUCAAAAACAAUUCAAUUAAAAUUCUUGGAGGACAGGCAUUAUGUCCUGUUUGCCUUGUAUCCCCAUCACUUUGCACAGAAUCUAGCAGUUUGAAUGUGUUUGGUAAUGUUGAAUGAAUGCAAGAAUAAAUGUUAAAAAAAUUAAAGAAGUUAAGAAAAAUUGCUUGUUACAACUCAUUACUAUUUGAUAUUUACUAGCAAUUCUGGC
rnacentral:lncRNA from 1 species